CAACUACUCCCUCUGUCCCAAAUUUCUUGUCUUAGAUUUGUCUAGAUACGGAUGUAUCUAAUACUAAAAUGUGACUUGAUACAUCUAUAUCGAGACAAAUCUAAGACAAGAAUUUUGGGACAGAGGGAGUACUUU
rfam:Triticum aestivum genome assembly, contig: Triticum_aestivum_CS42_TGACv1_scaffold_485979_6AS